rnacentral:rRNA from 1 species
CCUACGGGAGGCAGCAGUGGGGAAUUUUCCGCAAUGGGCGAAAGCCUGACGGAGCAACGCCGCGUGAGGGAUGAAGGCCUCUGGGCUGUAAACCUCUUUUAUCAAGGAAGAAGAUCUGACGGUACUUGAUGAAUAAGCCACGGCUAAUUCCGUGCCAGCAGCCGCGGUAAUACGGGAGUGGCAAGCGUUAUCCGGAAUUAUUGGGCGUAAAGCGUCCGCAGGCGGCCCUUCAAGUCUGCUGUUAAAAAGUGGAGCUUAACUCCAUCAUGGCAGUGGAAACUGUUGGGCUUGAGUGUGGUAGGGGCAGAGGGAAUUCCCGGUGUAGCGGUGAAAUGCGUAGAUAUCGGGAAGAACACCAGUGGCGAAGGCGCUCUGCUGGGCCAUCACUGACGCUCAUGGACGAAAGCCAGGGGAGCGAAAGGGAUUAGAUACCCCUGUAGUCCUGGCCGUAAACGAUGAACACUAGGUGUCGGGGGAAUCGACCCCCUCGGUGUCGUAGCCAACGCGUUAAGUGUUCCGCCUGGGGAGUACGCACGCAAGUGUGAAACUCAAAG